GCGUUGAUUUUUACAUCCAAAAUUGGUGAAGAUAAGAGGUUUUGGCAAUAUUUGACAAAAUCGGCUGAAUUUCAACCAAAUUUAGGACCAGGAAACAUAGAGCGCAGGCGUCUACAAACUUAAUAUUCAAGGUAGACAUGUAAAAUAUCUUUACAAAUAUUACUGUAAAAGAUCUUUGUUGUCGACAUAUGCGCUCUAUGUUUCCUGUCCAAUAAUUGGUGGAAAUUUACCCAUUUUCAUUGACUUUUGAGUGGAAAAUCCAAAUAAGUACUAUUUGUGACGUCAUAAAUAAAAUACAGGAACGUAAAUUUUCAAAAAAUGACUUAUUUCCAAUUUAGUCUAUAUAUUAGCUACAUUU
rnacentral:lncRNA from 1 species